AAAAGCAUAUUGCCCUCCCCAAUGUGGCAGGGGCAUCACCCAAUCCGGACUUUCACCAUUGGCUGCCCUGGUCCUCAGGCCUCAGAUUCAGACUGGAACUGCACUAUUGGCUUUCCUGGCAGAUCGUGGGACCCCUCAGCCUCCAUAAUCACCUCUCUGACACCGCUGUCUGCUGUCUCCUGGUUUCCAUGGCUCUGUCUGCUCCUGUGAUUGGAG